rnacentral:rRNA from 1 species
AUUGAACGCUGGCGGCAGGCUUAACACAUGCAAGUCGAGCGGGGUGAUGGUGCUUGCACUAUCACUUAGCGGCGGACGGGUGAGUAAUGCUUAGGAAUCUGCCUAUUAGUGGGGGACAACAUCUCGAAAGGGAUGCUAAUACCGCAUACGUCCUACGGGAGAAAGCAGGGGAUCACUUGUGACCUUGCGCUAAUAGAUGAGCCUAAGUCGGAUUAGAUAGUUGGUGGGGUAAAGGCCUACCAAGGCGACGAUCUGUAGCGGGUCUGAGAGGAUGAUCCGCCACACUGGGACUGAGACACGGCCCAGACUCCUACGGGAGGCAGCAGUGGGGAAUAUUGGACAAUGGGGGGAACCCUGAUCCAGCCAUGCCGCGUGUGUGAAGAAGGCCUUAUGGUUGUAAAGCACGUUAAGCGAGGAGGAGGCUCUUUUGGUUAAUACCCAAGAUGAGUGGACGUUACUCGCAGAAUAAGCACCGGCUAACUCUGUGCCAGCCGCCGCCGUAA